UUUUUUAUUUACUUUUCUUUGUUUUGCUUUGUUUUUAUUUAUUACUUUCCUUUACUGUUUUAAUUCGUUUUAAAGUAUUUAGACACUUUGUAAAAGCAUGAUUUCUUCACCAUAAAUACCUAGGCAUUAAUUGGCACACUCCAACAUUUUUGUUUUAAUGUUUGAAAAAAUUUGUUGUUUGACAAAAAUUCAAAUUUGAAUUUGAAUAGUUUUGAUCCUACGCGAGAUUAGACAGUGACAGAGGUGACGUGGCAUCAUUAGUAGAGGUUUUACUGUAGCUUAAUUAUUCGAGCGUCACAAUUCUCCUCCACUACAAGAAAUCUCGUCCCGAGAUUUUAAAAGGUGGAGUAAGGGGGAAGGGAUUUGGAUUACGAAAUUCUAACGAGUCUUCUCGGUGUUGGUUGCUCUUCCUGAAGUAGUUGAUCCUCUUCGUUGAUGUCUUUAUUUCUCUGCUUCAGGUCAUGAUGAUGAAGUCGGCAUCCUUUCUUCGGGAACUCCAUUGUACUUACGAAAAAAUAAAGGAUUGGUAUUCCAGGAGAACGGAAUUCUACAAGGUUGACUACCUGGUAGCUAACAUCGGGGAAGGUGGCGGAAAGUAACUCUCGAACUGAAACUUCAGAAAAUUUUGAGAGCAAAGUAAGAAGUUACCAUGAGAAGUUUAAGCGGGUAGGCAAUCGUUCGAUGCAUGAACAAAGUGGGAAAGGGGUCCAGGGCAACGAGAAUAAGUAUUGCGUCUGAUACCAAAGUAGAUUUCUAGGAAGAUGACCCAUGAAUUACAUACGAAAUCAAGCGCGAGGAAAUAACUUUGGCAAUAUGGGUGUACAGGAAAGUCAGGUUUCGAUCCUGUGAAACUGUGGGUUAUGGGCCCACCAUGUGGUUAAAAGUAGGAAGGGUGUUGACAUCUUGCACGGUCAUGAUAGCAAGACAUGUCAGAGGGUAGCCUAUCAGUUAUGUCGGCAACAAUGCCGGUACCAAGGGCGAGGGACGAAGAGAACCAUUUUCCUGCUCGUUGAACGAGGCAGACCAUUAGGCAAAGUUCUCGUCCAUCGGUGGCUACCAGAAUGUCAUCAACAAUAGUAACAAGGUCUUGCUGACAGAAUUGUACAACGAGGUGUUUACAUAAGCAGGAGAAUAUUACUGCUUAGAUCAUAUAGAUCACAAGAAAGGUUAAACCAAACAAUGGAAAGGAAAAUAUGAUUAUCAGAUUAAACAGAACAAUGGAAAGGAAAAUGUGUUAAAAACACAUAUUCCAGGGGUAUAUCCUUCCCACGGACAAGUAGGGCAUGAUAUCCAUGACAUGAUAUAAUGUAGAAAACCCUUAGGUAAGGGGAGAGAAACUUCAUGACAUUACCCAUACAAUGGUGUUUGGAUAAUUGAUAAAGAAAAUUUAGCAUUGUGCUUCAAAGGUUCUUAUUGAAAAUCAGAGUACCAGGGACAUGCUUCGAGAUAGCAUUGACAAGGUCCUCAAGAGCAAAGGCCAGACUCUGGAUACACGAAGGAUCCAUCAGGAACAACUUAUAGAAUACAAUUUCCUCAUGGAAGAAUGGCGAACCUUGCUAAAAAGGAAACUAUAUAGGUCCUCCGGGAAGGUGUGCUAAGCAUGACAUCACCUUGUUAUAAAUCUUGGGAAUAUGUUCCAACCAUCAUAUUUGACCAAGAUUCAGAUAUGAUUGGUGUUAGAAUACCUCAGACUCAGGAUGCUUGAGAAGAAAGGUGCAACACAAAUUGUCGAGAUGACAUUGUAAGAUUCUCGGGAAUUGAACUAUGGAAGCGAGUUCCACAACAAGAGUUCAUCAUUAAACCAAGAAGAGGAUGAGGUGGCUGAUGGCCUCAGCGACAAUUCAUCGAGAUUUCCAACAAGAUGGAUUUCCACAAUUAUGUGAACAAGGAGAUAACAUUUUUCAGAUCAAAUGGUAUAAUAAUGUAUGCUCAAGGAAAAACAUACACAAAUAAACAUUGGUUGAAAGGUGCGCCCAAAAUAUGGCCUUAGGUAGCAUAAUCAAUGUUAGAAUGGUGAUUCAAUAAUCAAUAGUCAAAGAAUGAACGGUCAACCAAUAACUUCAAAGCAAUAGGGUUGCUAGAAGGGCAGAAUCCAUGCUGCACCGUUCGCUUAUUGGUAUCCCAGUUAGAAUCAACACGGGGACCAAUAAAGAAUGGUGAUUGUGAGAAGUAUCACUAUACCAAGAAUUCUUAAGAGGUGGAGCAAUCCUCGCAACAUCCUUGACAUAAAAGAUGGUAAUACUUCAAGGUAGAACAUAAUACAAACUGGAUAGCAAGUUGCAUCCAUAACAAGAACAAGUUUGUGAUGAACGGAAGGCAAUAAGGUGGUCGAUGAUAACACAAAUCAUCGAGGGCAAGGAUGGUAUUUCUCAUCAUGAAUUCAAUUGAUAUCCUGGAAGAGCUCAGAAUGCUGAUGAUGAUCAUGACACAUUUGUCGAGAGAUUUCAUGAAGAUGUAAUCGAUCGGCGAUGACAUCAUGUCAAACGAAUUAUGAAGCGAAAGGUUAUUGGAACCACGGGUAGGUCACAAACUCGGAAUCAAGUUUGUUGUUCAAGGAGAAAUGAUAUGACGAGGAAGAUCGACGUAAGAUUAGCUCACCGUCGAAAGUUGUGCUUCGGGAUUAAGGACCAGGUAGCACAGUUAAAAUCGGCACGAUAAUGACAUGGCCGAGCAGGCUAGGAAUGACGUGAUCGAGUUCAAACUCGUAAGUAAUGAAGGUUACCAAGAGUUGUUUAAUCGCGGUGCGGACUCGAUUCAGUUAUCGAUGUCUUUGAUUGCUUAAUAACCCAGAGCUCGUGAAAAAAAAUGGAAUCAAUGAGAAUUCAGUACUUGAUGAAGAACUCAUAAGAAGUUAUGUAGUUCCAUGAUAUUCUCGAGAUACCAGAGGUUAUACUCAAAGGUGGAGCAGAAUAGAGGUUGGAUAGGUGUAAUGAUCUGCAGAAGACAAGUACUUCAACUUGUCCAAGAAAAGGAAUCAAAGAAUAUCAAUAUGGCCGGAACCAAGAUUGCAAAAGACCAGAUCCCAGAUAUAAGAUGAACUUAUACCAAGGGGAUAAUUAAUUUAAGAGUAGCUUCCAUGAUAAGAUUUACAUCGUGUCCAUGGGCAUGAACACAAAGUUCAAGGUCGACUCCCACUUCUUCAAUGCAUAACCUUUCAUUCACUGCUCUAGAUAAAAAUGGUUUCAGUGUCAAAACCCACCUGGUGAAUUAUCAGAGGAGUAUGACCCGUGAAAACUUUCGGGUUCACAGAGAUUAAGGAAGGCAUGGGUUCAACCCAUCGGGGCAUCUUAGAAACAUAUACCACAAAUUUUUAGGAGUAAUUAACACAAGCUCGAAAGUAGAGCAUGGUUGUCAAAGCAUUAUGCAUCAGGGAAAGAACUCACAAGAUUUGAAUGCGAAUGAUACCAUCGGAUAACAACCCAGCAAUGGUUUUGGCGGUCCAUAACAGAGCUGAUGUGAGUAUCGGUACUCAAUCAGAGGAAGAAAGAAUGCAAAGGCAUCAGAUUAUGGGAAUAACUAACUAAUUCAAAUCUCAAAUGCAAAGGAAUUGCGAUUUCCAAAUCAAGGGAUCAAAAGCAAACGCUCUGAUUAAGGAUGGAUAAGUUGAGUAGACUUAGGGGUACAACCGACGGCAAUUCGGUUUGUCGAGAACCAAUUCAUGUUUAAAAUGACGUCUGAUCCGGAAGGAUGAAUUCUAGGAUUUCGACUGAGGAUUGCGAGCAUUCACCACAUAUCAAAUCAAAGGAUGAAAAUGACGAUGACAAGGGAUACUAAUGAAUAUUGCUAGACAUAUGGAACGCAACCAUAAUGCAAGCAGUCAAGUAUUUGUAGAGCAACAAGCUGCUAAGGAUUUUCAGAGGAUCGAAUAGUAUUUCGAAGACUUUUGUGAACACCUGAACAACUGGGGAUUAGCGGAUACUCGGUAAGUGCGAGAAAUUAUCCGUAGGGGUGUUUAUGUGGAUAAUCAACUGCAAGGCAGUAGGCACAAUGUAUUCUUUUAACAAUAGAGAGAAUUUCCGAGGUAUCUUGUAAUAACAAGAUCAAUGGGAUUGAAAUGGCAAGUGUAUGUAGUUAUCCAUAAUGAUAUAACAGUGGUAGGGAAUUUGCAAAGGCGGUGGGCACAAGUGUCUCGAGAGAACAUCGGAGAUUAUCUUCGAAAUCUUCUGGUGCAGUAGGCGAUCAUCUGUAAUAAGGGGAACUCCAGGUGGAUGUGAUCACGAGAUCCUAAUGUUAGAGUUAACAAAAUCAUUUAACCUGAAUAGAAGAGAGAUCAGAGUCCCAGAGUAUAGACGAGGAAUAAAAGAUCCUAAUACCACCCAAUGGCGACGUGAGCCCGUAAGACACACAGCCAUGUUAGUAAAAGUUUUGUAAUGACUAGACUCGACUUCGGCCAAGGAGUAUGGAAGGGGGAUUCCUACAGGCAGUCGGCUCUGAUACCAACUUGUGACGCCCCCGAUUCAAUCGUACACUAAUCAUGCACGCAAACGUGUACGAUCAAGAUCAGGGACUCACGGGAAGAUAUCACAACACAACUCUAAAAACAUAAAUAAGUCAUACAAGCAUCAUAAUACAAGCCAGGGGCCUCUAGGGCUCGAAUACAAGUGCUCGAUUAUAGACGAGUCAGCGGAAGCAACAAUAUCUGAGUACAGACAUAAGUUAAACAAGUUUGCCUUAAGAAGGCUAGCACAAACUGGGAUAUGGAUCGAAAGAGGCGCGGGCCUCCUGCCUGGAUCCUCCUAAACUACUCCUGGUCGUUGUCAGCGGCCUCCACGUAGUAGCAGGCACCUCCGGUGUAGUAGGAGUCGUCGUCGAUGGUGGCGUCUGGCUCCUGGGCUCCGGCAUCUGGUUGCGACAACCAGGUAGAAGGGAAGGGGGGGAAGAGGGAGAAAAGCAACCGUGAGUACUCAUCCAAAGUACUCGCAAGCAAGGAGCUACACUACAUAUGCAUGGGUAUAUGUGUAAAGGGCCAUAUCGAUGGACUGAACUGCAGAAUGCCAGAAUAAGAGGGGGAUAGCUAAUCCUCUCGAAGACUACGCUUCUGGCAGCCUUCAUCUUGCAGCAUGUAGAAGAGAGUAGAUGAUAAGUUCACCAAGUAGCAUCGCAUAGCAUAAUCCUACCCUGCGAUCCUCUCCUCGUCAUCCUGUUAGAGAGCGAUCACCGGGUUGUAUCUGGCACUUGGAAGGGUGUGUUUUAUUAAUUAUCCGGUUCUAUUUGUCAUAAGGUCAAGGUACAACUCCGGGUCGUCCUUUUACCGAGGGGCACGGCUAUUCGAAUAGAUAAACUUCCUUACAGGGGUGCACCACAUAACCCAACACGCUCGAUCCCAUUUGGACGGACACACUUUUCUGGGUCAUGCCCGGCCUCGGAAGAAAGGGUUCGUCGUCGAUGUAGUCGAUCACAGGGGUACCGGCAGCGGUCUCGGGGUCUACCGGAAAGAAGUAACGAAGGGGGAACACAAUAAAUAAUAGAGCAAUCAAAGCAUCACAAAGCAUAACAUGGCAAUACGCGGUGCUAGGGGUGACCUAACGCGGUACUAGGUGAUACUGGCGAAGGGGGGAAACAUCCGAGAAAGUAUCCCCGGUGUUUGGCCUUUUCGGACAGCUGAACCGGAGGGGGAAAGUUGCGUGUUCACUAUCCUAGGGAUGCGUGGCGGACAAACGGGCUACGUAUCCGGAUUCGUCUUGUCGUUCUGAGCAACUUUCAUGUAUAAAGUUUUUUCAUCCAAGCUAUGGUUUACUUUAUAUAAAUUUUUAAAGAUUUAAUUCAUUUUUAGGAAUUAUUUUAAUUCAAUUUAAAUAGUAAAAUGCUAUGCGUUCACAGUAGAGGCCAGCCACAGCCUAUGACCUGUGGGGCGAGGGGACCCAGUUGACCCAGUCAACUAUUGACUAGUCAACGGUGUGAACAGUCCAAGCGGGACCCCAUGUCAUUCUCUAGUAAUUUCAACAUUGAUUUAACAUUUAUACUUAGUAGUGGACCCCAUCUGUCAUUGUCUAAUUAAUUUUAGUUAUUUAGUUAAUUUUAACAUAUGGACCCACGGGUCAUACAUUGUAAUUACGUUAACUUAAUUAAAUGGAUUAAUUAGCCUUGGGGGCCUACCAGUCAGCGUCUCAAGGGCUAAUCAACAAAGCCAUUUAGUCCAUUUAGUCCCUAAUAGUCAGGGACGCGACAGCCGGCCGGGGUUAACCGCCGGCAACCUUCUGAGCGGCGGAGACACGUCAAAGGCCCACGGGAGCGGCGGACGAGGGCAACAGAAGAUACCCCACAAUCGCGCGCAUCUAGGGGGCUUCGCAGCAGGCGUUGGAGUUGCCGGAAUCGUCGGGAACGACGAGUCCCGCGGUGGUGGAGCCACGGCUCGCACCGGGGUGGUGCACGGGCGCGGCGCGGGCAUGUGUGCGCGCGGCCGGUGGUGGUGAGCACGAGCGCUCAACGAGCUCUCGACGCAGUGGUGUGGCGAACUUCGGCGACGGAAAAACGGAAAGGAGGAACAAGGGGAUCGAGCGGGAGCCUCACAUCGAGCGGCAGGGGAGGUCCGUGAGCUCGGGGGAGGCCAUGGCGGGUCGGAGAGGUGGCCGACGAGGAGCGGGCCGCCGGUGACGAGGCGGCCAGGCAGGGGCGACGACGGGCAGAGUAGAGGGGCAGGCGCGGACAUGAGAGGAAGAGGGAGGCCGGAUCCGCGACGGGCCUCCGGGAUCCGUCCAUCUCCGACGACGAGCGGCUUGGCGCGGUACGAACACGGAGAACCAGGCGGCAGCGGCCAUAGCAGGAGCUCGAGCACGGUGGUGUCACGAGGGCAGUGGGGCAGAGGCGACGGUUAGGGCUUGCCGGCGGCGCGAUCGGAGCGGCUCGAGGUGGCGGCGAAGUGCAAGGAGGACCUCGGGCGUGAGGCACGGCGGCGUCGCUCGCGAGGUCUCCCUCUAGUGGGUGGCGGCGCGCGAGGGGGAUCGAGAGGGAGUUGCGGGAUCUAGGGGAUUGGACCGAUCGGGAGGAGUGGGUUGUGGAGGUGUGCGGUUAGGGUUACGGGGGAGUGGGGGUUAGGUAGGCCCUAGGUUGGGCUGGCCAGCUGGGCCGGUUGGCCCAGUGGCGGUGGGUUUGCUUCUUCUCUCUUUUUUAUUUACUUUUCUUUGUUUUGCUUUGUUUUUAUUUAUUACUUUCCUUUACUGUUUUAAUUCGUUUUAAAGUAUUUAGACACUUUGUAAAAGCAUGAUUUCUUCACCAUAAAUACCUAGGCAUUAAUUGGCACACUCCGAACAUUUUUGUUUUAAUGUUUGAAAAUUUUUGUUGUUUGACAAAAGUUCAAAUUUGAAUUUGAAUAGUUUUGAUCCUACGGGAGAUUAGACAGUGACAAAGGUGACGUGGCAUCAUUAGCAGAGGUUUUACUGUAGCUUAAUUAUUCGGGCAUCACAAUUAUCUCAUCAAGAGAGCCCGAAGCUGGGUAAAACCCCGUGUCCAUGUUACCAUCGCUCCCAGACGCCUAGCUUAUGACCCCUACUACGAGAUACGCCGGAUAUUGAACCGACAUUGGUGCUUUCAUUGAGAGCCUGCUGGCGGUCGUCG
rnacentral:lncRNA from 1 species